GACGAACGCUGGCGGCGUGCCUAAUACAUGCAAGUCGAGCGCUGAAGGUUGGUACUUGUGCCAACUGGAUGAGCAGCGAACGGGUGAGUAACGCGUGGGGAAUCUGCCUUUGAGCGGGGGACAACAUUUGGAAACGAAUGCUAAUACCGCAUAAAAACUUUAAACACAAGUUUUAAGUUUGAAAGAUGCAAUUGCAUCACUCAAAGAUGAUCCCGCGUUUUAUUAGCUAGUUGGUGAGGUAAAGGCUCACCAAGGCGAUGAUACAUAGCCGACCUGAGAGGGUGAUCGGGCAAAAUGGGAAUGGGAACAGGCCCCAGAUCCUAAGGGGAGCAGCAGUAGGGAAACUUCGGAAAUGGGCGAAAGUCUGACCGAGCAAAGCCGGGGGAGUGAAGAAGGGUUUCGGAUCGGAAAACUCUGUUGGUAGAGAAGAAAGUUGGUGAGAGUGGAAAGCUCAUGAAGUGACGGUAACUAACCAGAAAGGGACGGCUAACUACGUG
rnacentral:rRNA from 1 species